CCAAUAGCGUAUAUUAAAGUUGUUGCAGUUAAAAAGCUCGUAGUUGAAUUUCGGGAUCAAUAUGUCGGUCGUGCCUUCGGUACGUACUGGUAUCAUUGGUCUCUCCUUUCUGACGAACCAUGAUGUCAUUAAUUUGGUGUUAUGGGGAGUUAGGACUGUUACUUUGAAAAAAUUAGAGUGUUUAAAGCAGGCUUUAGCUUGAAUACAUUAGCAUGGAAUAAUGAAAUAGGACGUUCGAACCUAUUUUGUUGGUUUCUAGGAUCAACGUAAUGAUUAAUAGGGAUAGUUGGGGGCAUUAGUAUUCAAUUGUCAGGGGUGAAAUUCUUGGAUUUAUUGAAGACUAACUACUGCGAAAGCAUUUGCCAAGGAUGUUUUCAUUAAUCAAGAACGAAAGUUAGGGGAUCGAAGACGAUCAGAUACCGUCGUAGUCUUAACCAUAAACUAUGCCGACUAGGGAUCGGAUGAUGUUAAUUUUUUAAUGACUCAUUCGGCGCCUUACG
rnacentral:rRNA from 1 species